GUUGCACUGACCUGAAACAACGCACUCAAGCUACACGCAAGAGCCCCUGAACACAACAAGAUGCACAAGUGCACGAGUUUGCUGCUGGUAUCUAUCAUUAUGUGUGCCACAAUCUCGCAGACAUUUGGGCUAGUUUUAUCAGGAAAAGACAAACGGG